GGAGCGAACUCUGUCUAUGUCCGUCAAACAAACGAGGAAGUAAUGGCGUCUCGCGUCGUUUCGCUUUCCGAUAUUCCUGACAAAUUAUCAUAAAUGUGACAUUACAAUGCGAAAAAAAUAGAAGUCAAAGGAUAUGGUAACUGGCUGCUACAUCGGAAGGCUCGAUAUAUCUUUAGAAAAUGACGAUAUCUAACAUUGACGGGGUGAAAUCUAUCCAAGUCAGAGAAAAUCGGAUAGCCGCCAUGUUGUCAACAUUGACAUCGAUACAAAGGAAAAGCGUGUGUGUGACGCAUACUGUAAAUGCAAACAAGGAAAUUGUGGAACAUGUUCACACACUCUGGCUGUAAAAGUAGACCUGGGAGGAAAAUUGCCCCCGGUGUGGGGCUCGAACUCAUAACCACCAGAACACUAGCCCGGCGCUCUAACCAACUAAGCUGACCGGGCAGCUGGUUCUAACCCACACACACUACCCUCCCCCCAUUUACCGGUUAAGGCUGGUGGAGGGUCUCCUGCUAUUUACCGUUGACACCAUUAAAGUAUUCUGAUUGAUGGAGAUAAGGAAGUCCCCUUAUUGGCUUAUUAUUGUCUUCAACAAGCCUACCGCAACAGGGGACCUAUCAUAAGACCGGAAACCGCCCCCCCCCCCCACACACACACAUGAUAUUUGCCAGUCCAGGCAAUGUCAACCGCAAGAGAAAACCAGUGAUGACAAGUUUUACAAAUAAUCGGAAAGUGUGGUCUUUUGAAGAGAGUUCUUGAAGUUGUUCAGCAUGUUGUUUUGAUGGAUUAUUGGAAGGAUGUACCUCUAUGAUGUUAGCUUCAGUUCUGGAUUAUAACACCAGUUGUUGCAUAUUCAAUAUCAGAUUUAUUAAAUACAUUGUUGUUUUGCAAACAUUACUUAAACUUUGAUAUUUCUUUGGUGUUUAUGUAUGAUAUUGUAGGUGAAUAUCUCUUUAUUGCAAUGGCAAAUAUAUUUUAAAAUAUAUAGCAUUAGCAGAAGUUAUUUUUCACUGUUAAAGCUGCACUUUCACAGAUUGAUCACUUUGACAACUUACACAGGAUUUGAUUGCAUUUAUCAUAUUUUGGCUCGGAGAAGUUUGCUUUGUGAUUUAUAUAUUAGGUCUUAAUUUAAAGAAUGCCAAAAUAAGCCGAUUCUGAGACAAAAAGUGUCAAACUAGAAUUCUGUGAGAGUGCAACUUUAAGAAUACUAUUAAUCGAGUGUGCAUGUGAUCCGGAUUCUGAACAUUGGAUGAACUAUCAUUAAAUAUUGUAGAUUUACGUAAAUGGCCCAAAAUAUAAGAAUAACAAUGAAAAUAUGUACAUGUUUGACUUGUUCUUUAUUCAUAAUAAGUCUAAGUCUUUACAGCACAUGUUUGGCAGAAUCAAGUUCUAAUGAACAUAAUAAUUGAUUUAAAUGUACAGUGAAAUAAAUUGUUUUAUACAGAAAAUAAUACC